CGAACGCUGGCGGCAUGCCUACCACAUGCAAGUCGCACGACCCCUUCGGGGUUAGUGGCGCCCGGGUGCGUAACGCGUGGGAAUCUGCCCUUUGCUUCGGAAUAACUCAGGGACACUUGUGCUAAUACCGGAUGAUGUCUUCGGACCAAAGAUUUAUCGGCAAGGGAUGAGCCCGCGUAGGAUUAGGUAGUUGGUGGGGUAAAGGCCUACCAAGCCGACGAUCCUUAGCUGGUCUGAGAGGAUGAUCAGCCACACUGGGACUGAGACACGGCCCAGACUCCUACGGGAGGCAGCAGUGGGGAAUAUUGGACAAUGGGCGCAAGCCUGAUCCAGCAAUGCCGCGUGAGUGAUGAAGGCCCUCGGGUCGUAAAGCUCUUUUACCAGGGAUGAUAAUGACAGUACCUGGAGAAUAAGCUCCGGCUAACUCCGUG
rnacentral:rRNA from 1 species